AUCUACUGUUCACAGAAUAACACAAACCUUCUGACUCCCACUUUAAACCAGUGGUGUUUACUGGACAAACUAGAGAAAUCAUCCAGAAUGUUUUAAUCUGUGAUUGCUUUUUUUACCUCGUGUGUGUGUGUGUGUGUGUGUGUGUUGGUGUGGUUGCUCAGGUGCAUCAACAGGAGCAGACAGUGGAAUAGGGUGCGUUGAAUUCGGCUUGAUCCAAGGAUUUCAACAACAUUCAAUAUCGGGCAUACGGGUCAAAAACGCAGAUUUUUGAUUGCAGCGACUCUUAGGUUAAAGUUUAGUCAAUAGCGGACCAGAUUGGUGACCUGUGAACAUUAAGUUUAGUUUUUUCAUGCAUCCUCUCAAUGGAACCCCAAGUCCAUGUACCAAGUUUGGUUUUGAUAAUUGAAAGUUUUGCUAAGAUGAUAUAGACUGGGUGGUGGUAGUGUAGUGGUUAAGGAGCUGGGCUAGUGUGCAGUAGCCUGACAGUUGUGGGUUCAAUUCCUGGCUUCCAUUGUUAUGCCCUUGAACAAGGCAAUUUACCCCAAGUUGCUCUGAGGACAAUGUAACCCCUUUUAAUAUAGUUGACAUAUGUAAGUCGCUUUGGACAAUAGUGUCUGCUAAAUAAACAUUAAAAUGUGACCUUACUUUCUGUUUGGCGGCUUUACCAACGCAACACACGUUUAUCUGUUUAAUGCAUGUUGUAUGUCAUGUCUGUGUCUUCCGAAUGGACCUUGAGUCUGGCAAUAAAGUUGAUGAUGUGUUA